UACGUAGGGUGCAAGCGUUAAUCGGAAUUACUGGGCGUAAAGCGUGCGCAGGCGGUGAUGUAAGACAGGUGUGAAAUCCCCGGGCUUAACCUGGGAACUGCAUUUGUGACUGCACGGCUAGAGUGUGUCAGAGGGGGGGUAGAAUUCCACGUGUAGCAGUGAAAUGCGUAGAUAUGUGGAGGAAUACCGAUGGCGAAGGCAGCCCCCCUGGGAUGACACUGACGCUCAUGCACGAAAGCGUGGGGAGCAAACAGG
rnacentral:rRNA from 1 species